AAACAGAUUUCCAUAAAGAAAAGCUGCUUUAGAGUGCUACACUGUAAGAGGGGCCGGGCAAACAAGAAGGGACGGAGGAAAGACCACCAAGUGAGAGGCACAGGUGUCAGGACACACAGAGAGCCCGAAAACGAGGCAGAGUUUGGCUGCUGUAACUGACUGGGAAGCUUAAAAUAACAGACAAUCAUCUCUCACAUUUAUGGGGACUGGGAAGUCCAAGACCAAGUUGCCAUCUGGGGAGGGCCUGUUCCUCACAGCGCCUUCCAGCUCAGGCCUCGUUUAUAAGGGCACUCAAGCCUUCCACGACAACGGGUCCUCAUGACUUACUCACCUCGGAAAGCCCCACCCCCAAGACCAUCACAUUGUGGGUGAUGGCAGAGCAUAAGGUGCCUUCCCCACAUGCUCGGGUUGGCCCAGCGUCUCACGCUAGCAGCUACGUGGAAUAGUUAUUUUUUCUGGAGAACUCUGGGACCCCUCUGAUGUCUUGGAGCACCCACACAGGCCGUUCACUGUGCACGCUGUGAGGCUGUCGUCUUGGAGCACCCACACAGGC
rnacentral:lncRNA from 10 species